GUCACGCAGCAACUAUGCCGGGCGGGAUAGAACCCGCGCCCAGGCUUCUGGAGUGAGUGUGAGUGUGAGAGCGAGAACCGCCCCGCAGGUCCCGAGGCGCUGGCUGGGGACUCGGCCGCGGAAAGUUCCCAGUCCCCAGCCGCAGAUCUACAGGAUUGAAAUGAAAUGUUUUGAGGUCUUCAAGCUGACUCAGGAUCCUGGAGUAUUUUUAAAAUGACGAAAUGGAAGAAAAAAAAUCAAAUUAUCAAUAAGGAGUCUUUCGACACCAGGCCCUGAUAGGGUUGAGCUGGAUGGUGACUAGCACUUGUCAUUCCCAGCAAGCACAAUGCAGAGAGCAAAUGCAAAGGACCUGGACUGUAUUGCAUCUCUUAUAGAAGUGCCUGGCAUAGGAUUGAUAGAUUUUAAUGACUGAAAAUGGAAAUUGAUAAAACAAACAUGUUCAAAAAGAAGACGCCUCUGCUUCAUCCAUUCCCAAAAAGCACUGUGUUGAUCAUAGGUCUAAGAAGUAUUGCCUUGUUCACUUAGUUUUUUAAAAUCUAGGAAAAAUUAAGAAGUGCACCCACUUUACAAGUCUUGUGCCAGCAGGAAAUGAAAGGAAAUGACUUAAGAAUAAUUUUAAAUGUGGAAGGAAAUAACCAGAGGAUGAUGACUAUGAAAUCUUACUUAUUUACUGAAUGAGGAAGCUGAUACUCAUUUCAAAAGCAACGAUUAGAAAGUAGAUGCCUUUGCUAGAAAAUACUUUUUUGAUGCCUGACAGCAGAUGAUAUUGAAUAAAAAUGAGAAGCAAGAGAAAAACAGAGGAAGAGAAUAAUGUAAGUACGUUGAUUUCAUUCAAUUGCUGUGUCUAUUUGGAUUUCUAGCUCUGUUUGAGAACACCAUACAAUUAUAUAAUCUCCGCAUCUCACUUUUUGGUCUUCUUUGAUGGAAGUUAAUCAUCCAUAAAUCCAUAAAGUACAGUGUACUGUACCUUCUUCUUAAGCUUACAAGAAGAUUAUAUGGUUUAAUGCAUGUAAAGUGCUUAGCACAAUGCCUGGCUAGAUUACUUAUUGUUAUGAUUGUAAACAAGUUUUUCAAGGAUAUUUCUAAAUAGCUAUCAUUACUCUUUCUAAUGUUUGCUAACUGAAUGAAUCACAUUUGAUGAGACUUACCCAGAAUUUAUUGGAUAAGUGAAAACAUUUUUGACCAACUACUAGCACAAUCCUUUCUUAGAGUCUAUUAAGUAUAUAUUACGUGCAUGUUAAAUUGAACCAAAUUUGGUAGUAUGUCAUUCUUAUUUACUGUGUAUGAUACGAAGAUGUCCUCCCCAUUCCUUUUCAGAGGUCACCUACUCUAAAGUAUAGUCCUAUGGUUUCCUUAGAAUUCUUCACUCUGGAGGUUGUAACAUGUUCCUUCCUCUUAGUUUGAGGCUGUUUUGUGAGCUGUUGUUUACAACAGUACAAUGCUAUUGAUAAUUUUCUCUGUUGUUAGGGACCAUGAUUACAAAACCAUUCAACUUGGGCUGUAGCCAAGAGUUGCAUCCUGAAAGUCAGUGAUGCCUAUUGAUUAACUUCACAUUGUAUAGACCUUCCUACUGCUAGAGAUCUAUGGGACCAAGUGUGGUAAAGUUUCGAUAGAUUAAAUUUCUUUGGUUCAGUGUGAAGUGCCCCACCCCAAUCACCAUGUGAAAAAGCAGCAUAUCUUUAACUCUUUAAGCUUUCUUAAUGAGGUGUUCAAAUUGUCCAAGAAAAAAACAGUAAACAGCAUACUGGUGAGGUAGCAGAAAAGCAUAAAUCAUAAUAAGAGAGAAAAUAUUUUUUAUUGACAUAUAGUUGACUUAAAAUGUUUCAUGUGUACAGCAAAGUGAUUCAGUUACACACACACAC